CGCCGUAACGGAUGGAGAGCAGCAAAAAAUGAAACAUGGACACAAUAACGCAUGUUACAUGUCUAACAACAUGUUCCAGACAGGUAAUUAGAAGAUAUUAAAGAGAACCAUGACCAGAUUUCUCAAGGAAGAAAUACACCUUUUCAUUCUGACCCAUGGAGAAGAGGAAGAGGUUUCUAACUGGGUCUGCGAACUUGUAACAGAGUUAAAGAAUAAAAACAUUCAUUGCGUGAAAGAAGAGGAUUACGCAAUUGUUGGAGAAAAUGUGUACUGUUCCUUAGAAAGAUCAAUAAACUCUUCAUUCAAGAAAUGUAAUGGUCGUCAUAUCCCAAGAAUUUCUUAGUAAAGCAGGCUUAGUUGAAAGAUUAAACCUUACUUUUAAACAAACAAUUGAGAGAAAAAUUCCAUUAAUACCAGUCCUUAGUAUUAACAUACCAGACACUCCAUAUAUACUGUCUGCUACAGUAUGCAUGUAUGUGGACUUCUCUAAAACCUUAUUGGAGGAAGAUGUUCAAAAGAUAGAAAGAUCACUCAAAAGAACAGCAGAGAAAGAAUCGACCGAAGAAGAGAUGAAUCAGAUUCUUGCAUCUCUUGACAAAGCGAUAGAACAAGCGCCAGUGCAUGUGUUAUCAGCUGUAAAAAGUACACCGAGAUUUAAAAAGCUUUGUCAAUUUUUUAGUGGCUCAAAGGAACGAAAUUGUCCAAUUUUUAAAGAAAAAGAAAAUAUUUUUUCCGUUAAGAUAAGACGAGCUUUGUCGGAUACAUCAAGUAUGCAUCGACUCAAAGAAGUAUAUUCGAGACUUGGUUCACAGAACAAACUAAAGAGUUCUAGGCCCCGCAGAAGCCAGUCGUUUGGACACAGAGUUGAUUUUUCUAAGAAAACUGUGAUCAUGAAUUUGGGAUCUGUAUGACGA